GGGUCAGUAGGUUGGUCGUGCCACCGGUACGUACUGGUCUCACUGAUUCCUCCUUCCUGAAGAACCGUAAUGCCAUUAAUUUGGUGUUGCGGGGGAACAGGACUGUUACUUUGAAAAAAUUAGAGUGUUUAAAGCAGGCUAACGCUUGAAUACAUUAGCAUGGAAUAAUGAAAUAGGACGAUCGAUCCUAUUUUGUUGGUUUCUAGGAUUGACGUA
rnacentral:rRNA from 1 species